UACGGAGGGGGCGAGCGUUGUCCGAAGUUACUGGGCGUAAAGCGCGCGUAGGCGGGGAGGCAAGUCCGCUGUGAAAGCCUGAGGCUUAACCUCAGCGGGUCGGUGGAUACUGCCUCUCUUGAAGGCGUUAGGGGGAGAUGGAAUUACCGGUGUAGCGGUGAAAUGCGUAGAUAUCGGUAGGAACACCAGUGGCGAAGGCGGUCUCCUGGGACGUUCUUGACGCUGAGGCGCGAAAGCUGGGGGAGCGAACGGG
rnacentral:rRNA from 1 species